rnacentral:rRNA from 1 species
UCGAGAAUCUUCGGCAAUGGGCGCAAGCCUGACCGAGCGACGCCGCGUGCGGGAUGAAGGCCUUCGGGUUGUAAACCGCUGUCGGAGGGGAGGAAAUACUGUGGGGUUCUCCCCAUGGCUUGACCUAUCCUCGAAGGAAGGACGGGCUAAGUUCGUGCCAGCAGCCGCGGUAAGACGAACCGUCCAAACGUUAUUCGGAAUCACUGGGCUUAAAGGGUGCGUAGGCUGUGCAGUAAGUCGGGUGUGAAAUCCCUCAGCUUAACUGAGGAAUUGCGCCCGAAACUGUUGUACUAGAGGGAGACAGGGGUAAGCGGAACUGAUGGUGGAGCGGUGAAAUGCGUUGAUAUCAUCAGGAACACCGGUGGCGAAGGCGGCUUACUGGGUCUCUUCUGACGCUGAGGCACGAAAGCUAGGGGAGCGAACGGGAUUAGAUACCCCGGUAGUCC